UACGUAGGGUGCAAGCGUUGUCCGGAAUUAUUGGGCGUAAAGAGCUCGUAGGCGGCCUGUCGCGUCGGCUGUGAAAACCCGGGGCUCAACCCCGGGCCUGCAGUCGAUACGGGCAGGCUAGAGUUCGGUAGGGGAGACUGGAAUUCCUGGUGUAGCGGUGAAAUGCGCAGAUAUCAGGAGGAACACCGGUGGCGAAGGCGGGUCUCUGGGCCGAUACUGACGCUGAGGAGCGAAAGCGUGGGGAGCGAACAGG
rnacentral:rRNA from 1 species